rnacentral:Y_RNA from 1 species
GGCUGUCCCAAGUAGUUAAUUAUCUCACUUGAUUGUUGACAGUCUAACAGAUUUAACUCCUGUUCUACUACUUUCCCCCUUUUCACUACUGCACUUGACUAGUCUUAA